rnacentral:rRNA from 1 species
ACGAACGCUGGCGGCGUGCCUAAUACAUGCAAGUAGGACGCACAGUCUAUACCGUAGCUUGCUACACCAUAGGCUGUGAGUUGCGAACGGGUGAGUAACGCGUAGGUAACCUGCCUAUUAGAGGGGGAUAACUAUUGGAAACGAUAGCUAAUACCGCAUAACAGUAUGUAACACAUGUUAGAUGCUUGAAAGAUGCAAUUGCAUCGCUAGUAGAUGGACCUGCGUUGUAUUAGCUAGUAGGUAGGGUAAUGGCCUACCUAGGCGACGAUACAUAGCCGACCUGAGAGGGUGAUCGGCCACACUGGGACUGAGACACGGCCCAGACUCCUACGGGAGGCAGCAGUAGGGAAUCUUCGGCAAUGGGGGGAACCCUGACCGAGCAACGCCGCGUGAGUGAAGAAGGUUUUCGGAUCGUAAAGCUCUGUUGUUAAGGAAGAACGAGUGUGAGAAUGGAAAGUUCAUACUGUGACGGUACUUAACCAGAAAGGGACGGCUAACUACGUG